AUUGAACGCUGGCGGCAGGCCUAACACAUGCAAGUCGAGCGAGCGGGGGAGGGGAGAGAAAUGUGUGGGGAUCUGCGCGAAAGCGGGGGAAAACUCGUGGAAACGGUGGCUAAUACCGCAAACCAGCGGGUGAACAAAUAGGGGAUUAGCUAGUAGGUGGGGUAAAGGCUCACCUAGGCGACGAUCGCUAGCUGGUCUGAGAGGCUGAACAGCCACACUGGGACUGAGACACGGCCCAGACUCCUACGGGAGGCAGCAGUGGGGAAUAUUCCGCAAUGGGCGCAAGCCUGAUGCAGCCAUGCCGCGUGUAUUAAGAAGGCCUUAGGGUUGUAAAGUACUUUCAGCGGGGAGGCGUUACCCGCAUAAGAAGCACCGGCUAACUCCGUGCCAGCAGCCGCGGUAAUAC
rnacentral:rRNA from 1 species